ensembl:lncRNA novel transcript
AAAGACACAGCAGGCUGCAACCCAACUGGAGACUACUGCAGGCUGCCACGUCUCUGAUCCCCACUCUUGGUGCCGGCCCAGGGCCAAAGCUAAUGGGUGAGGAUGGAAAUACAAGCACCUUCAACAUCUCCUGCACCAAGUUCUUCCUGGUGGGUUUCCCUGGACUUCGAGAGUGGUGGCCCCUUCUGGUCCUGCCUCUUGUCUUCCUCUUUGUGACCAUCAUCUCUGCCAAUGCCCUGGUCAUCCACACAGUGGUUGCCCGGCAAAAUCUGCAUCAGCCUACGUGUAUGCUCAUCACUGUGCUCCUGGCUGUCAAUAUUCGUGCUGCCACAGCCGUGAUGCCUAAAAUGCUGGAGGGCUUUGUAUAUUAUGCUAACCCCAUAUCGCUGCAUGGCCGCCUGGCCUAGGUGUUCUUUAUCUACUUCACCCUCCUCCUGGACUACAACUUCCUCUGGCCAUGGCCCUGGACUGCUACGUAGCCAUCUGCCACCCACUCUGCUAUUCUGACCUGAUGACCUCCCAGCUGCUGGGACUGCUGGCCAUUCUUGCCUUGACACAGAGCCUGGGAGUGACAGUGCCCUUGGUAGUACUAACUGCAAAAGCCCGAUUCUGCCGGACAGCAGUGAUUCGACACUUCACCUGUGAGUGCAUUGCACUGCUGAGCAUAGCUUGUGGAGACCUGACCUUCAACAACUGGCUGGGGCUGGCUAUGUGUUUGGUCACUGUAAUCUCUGAUAUGGCCCUGCUGGGGACCUCCUACACCCACAUCAUCUAUGCUGCCUUCCGGAUCUCUUCUUGGGGAGCCCAAGCCAAGGCCUUACACACGUGUGGCUCCCACCUACUGGUCAUCCUCUCCAUCUACGUCUCUGGUCUUUCCACUUCCAUCACCUUCUGAGUAGCCAAGACUGUGUCCCAGAAUGUCCAGAAUCUACUCAGUGCCAUAUACUUGCUGCUUCCAGGAGCCUUGAAUCCUGUCAUUUAUGGGGUGAGGACUAGGGAGAUCCAGCAACAUGUAGAAAAGAUGCUCUGUGAAAAGGAAACAGCCCAGAAGGCUGGGGAGAAGCCAAAGAGGCUGCAGAACAUGAGACUGGAAACCGCCAGGGUGAGGGACUUUACUACCUUCGAAAGUUGGGGCUAUGAUCUCUGAGAAGAGAUAAGCAGGCAGUACUCAGGGACAGGCUCAAAUUUCCUCAGCAGAUUACGGGCUCAACAGCAGGUUCCCUGUUGGUCAACUGUUGCUUGUUAAAUUCUUAGAAUGCUCUUUGUUUUCACCCCC